rnacentral:rRNA from 1 species
AAACUAGGAUUAGAUACCCUAUUAUUUUUAUUAAAUUUGAAUUUAAUUUAAAUAUUAAAUGUUUAAGCAUUAAAAAUAAAAAAUUUGGCGGUAUUUAAUAUUUAGAGGAACUUGUUUAUUAAAUUGAUAAUCCACGAAUGGAAGAACUUAAUUUAAAAAUAAUUUUAUGUAUUGUUGUUGAAAAGUUAUAUUAAUAGGUAAUUAUUGAUGAAUUUAAUAAAAUUAUAAUUCAAAUCAAAAUGUAGAAUAAUUAAGAGUUUAAUGAGUUACAAUUAAUUAAAUAUUUGAAUUUUAAAAUAAUUUAAUUUAUAAAUGAAAAUGGAUUUAAAAGUAAAUUUAUAAAAAUUUAUAGGUGAAUAAAAAAUUUAU